rnacentral:tRNA from 1 species
GCGCUUGUAGCUCAGGGGAUAGAGCAGUGGUUUCCUAAACCAUUAGCCGGAGGUUCAAAUCCUCUCAAGCGCACCA